rnacentral:tRNA from 1 species
GGGGCUGUAGCUCAGCUGGGAGAGCGCUAGCUUUGCAAGCUAGAAGUCGUCGGUUCGAUCCCGAUCAGCUCCA